UAUGCUGUAAAAUUCUUCUGAAUUCCCAAAUAUUUCAACGAUCGCAACUAUAUUUUGUGAGCAUCCCAUCUUGUUUUCAUGGAACGUGGCGGAAAGAAAAGGAAGCUAGAUUAUCCAAAUUCAAAUAACAAACGCACGAAGUCUGAGGAAACGAAACCCAGCGGGUUUGAACAAGAAUUAGCAAAAUUUGGUUCUGCAGAAAGUCGCGC